UUGAUCCUGCCGGACCCGACUGCUAUCAGAGUGGGACUAAGCCAUGCGAGUCAACGCAGCAAUGCGUGGCAUACGGCUCAGUAACACGUAGUCAACAUGCCCAGGGGACGUGGAUAACUUCGGGAAACUGAGGAUAAACCGCGAUAGGCCAAGGUUUCUGGAAUGGACACUGGCUGAAACCUAUAUGGCCCCUGGAUUGGACUGCGGCCGAUCAGGCUGUUGGUGAGGUAAUGGCCCACCAAACCUGUAACCGGUACGGGCUUUGAGAGAAGGAGCCCGGAGAUGGGCACUGAGACAAGGGCCCAGGCCCUAUGGGGCGCAGCAGGCGCGAAAAUUCUGCAAUAGGCGAAAGCUUGACAGAGUUACUCUGAGUGAUGCCCGCUAAGGGCAUCUUUUGGCACCUCUAAAAAUGGUGCAGAAUAAGGGGUGGGCAAGUCUGGUGUCAGCCGCCGCGGUAAUACCAGCACCCCGAGUGGUCGGGACGAUUAUUGGGCCUAAAGCAUCCGUAGCUUGUUCUGCAAGUCUUCCGUUAAAUCCACCUGCUCAACAGAUGGGCUGCGGGAGAUACUACAGGGCUAGGAGGCGGGAGAGGCAAGCGGUACUCAGUGGGUAGGGGUAAAAUCCUCUGAUCCACUGAAGACCACCAGUGGCGAAGGCGGCUUGCCAGAACGCGCUCGACGGUGAGGGAUGAAAGCUGGGGGAGCAAACCGGAUUAGAUACC
rnacentral:rRNA from 1 species